rnacentral:lncRNA from 1 species
GUUUCGAGACACAGCACGAUAUCGUCCGUCUCCGGACAAAUAUCAACAGUAGUUGGAAUUGUAGUUACUGUCUUUACUCCAAUCGUUGGUGGUGUUGUUAUUACUGAAACUUUGAUGACGACAAUAUGUAAAGAGAUGGAUCGGACUCCUACUUGUGAUGAAAACCUUAAAAAAUUUGAAAAAUAUAAAAAAGCAGUCAAGAACUAAUUAGUUCAGACGAAAAGAACGAUUUAAACUUUUUAACAAAAUUCUUCACCCAUGAAUAAUUGGGAACCGACCAUCCACCUUUUUAGAUGGUAAAGUAUUUUUCUUGAAUCAAACAAUUGUUGUCCACUUUUCAAUGGCUACUUGUUUUUAAAUAACAUCCAGAAGUAAGAAAUUGCAAUGGAAACAAACUUCCCACCCCUUAACGCCUGUAAUAAUUUAUUCAAUUCAAGUCCCCUUCCAUUAAAAACAAUUUGAAUGGUCAGUGCUUUAUUAUAUUCAAGUCGGUUGUUCACUCUUCUGUGAUAAAAAGGAUUUCCAUUACAAUGCGAGAUCUAUAUAUGUUUACAUGUUUAAUAUGCCAUGGAAGUUACAUAUCAGCAGCGGUUUACAUGUUUAAUAUGCCAUGGAAGUUACAUAUCAGCAGCGGUUUACAUGUUUAAUAUGCCAUGGAAGUUACAUAUCAGCAGCGGUUUACAUGUUUAAUAUGCCAUGGAAGUUACAUAUCAGGAGCAACUUUUACGAUCAUUUAACACAUACUAAUCACGUCUAAUUUAUAAAUUAAAAAAAAAAAUAAAGGCACGCAGUUUAUACCCGUAGCCAUAUAAACAGUUUGGAAUGUUGUUGUCGGUUUUUAAAGUAAUUCAAAGUAAACAGCAAACAAACAUUGUUUUCAAAUAAUUUUCAAGUAGCUUAUGGUGCAUUCUUUAGUCUAGGAUAAAAACACCUUUUGGUGUCCAAAAUAUGUAUAUUAAUAUAAUGUUCAAAAUAUAUAUAUGUAUCUUACCUCGAAUAGAUUUAUGGGGAUAUGAUUGGUUAAUGGACUACACGUGUGGUGACUAUGUAUAUUUGAUAUAUGGUGUCACAUGGUUAGUUACCAUAUAGGGUUAGCAACCAUUUCGGGUUAGUAAGGAGUUACUUUCCUUUCAAAAAAAAAAAAAAGAUGUCACAACCCUCUAUAAAAACAACAUGGUGUUUAGGAACAGACGUCGAAAUUGACGAUGAAAGUUUAAAAUAAGUUCAUAAAACAUAACUACAUUUGUAAUAAUAUAUAACUUUCAUUGUCCUUAAACAAUCAUAUUUUUAUAAUUUUUAAAGGAGACAUCGUUUUGGUUGCAAUUGUGUUGUCUGUCCCUUUGUACAAAUCUACAAAACAUUUACCAUAAGUAUUGAAUCAUUUUGUAAAUAUUUCAUUAAUUGUUUUUUUCAAAUUUGGAUUUCAUGAACUAUUGCACUUUUUACUCUGUAUGUAUAUUAAAUGUUAUUUUUAUUUUUAUAAAUUAGGGAAUGUAUCUCCCUCAUGCUAAGCUCUGAUUCCUUUCACGCAUUUGGCUUUACUUUUUGGACCUUUUUGAUUAUAGUUCUUCAUCUUAUAUAUAAGCUUUGAAGUUUAAAUAUUUUGCCACGAGCACCGCUGAAGAGACAUGUAUUGUCGAAAUGCGCAUCUGGUGCAGAAGAUUGGUACCGUUAAUGUUAUUCAUAUUUUUGUAUUUCCCUUCAGAUUGCAAAACAAAAAUAAGGACCAAGUGCCCCUUAAUAUAAUAUUUCACACAAGGUCCAUUUUUACAUUUGUAAAAACUCUUUCAACCAUAUAUAAAAUAUGGACAAUAUACAGACUCAAAUAUUUAAUGUGUGGUUCAUUUCUCAACAAAUAUUGAUUGUCCAGAGAUCUAUAAUAUGUAUAUUGAUAUAAUCUUAAAGAUAUAAAUUUAUAUAAAACUUUCAUUGUCAUAAUACAGUCAUAUUUUUUAUAUGCUUUUAAAGGAGACACUGUUUUGUUUGCAAUUGUGUUUUGUGUCCCUUUGUGCAAAUCUACAAAACAUUUACAAUAAGUAUUGAAUCAAUUUGUAAAUAUUCCAUUCAUUUUUUUUUAUCAGAUUUUGAUUUCAUGAAUUAUUGUGUUUUUG